rnacentral:rRNA from 1 species
GACGAACCGAGCGAACGUUGUUCGGAAUCACUGGGCUUAAAGGGCGCGUAGGCGGGCUGCCAAGUCUGGGGUGAAAUCCCGCGGCUCAACCGUGGAACUGCCUCAGAUACUGGCGGCCUCGAGGGAGGUAGGGGCGAGCGGAACUAAUGGUGGAGCGGUGAAAUGCGCAGAUAUCGGGAGGAACACCAAUGGCGAAGGCAGCUCGCUGGGACGGUACUGACGCUGAGACGCGAAAGCGUGGGGAGCAAACAGG